UACGUAGGGUGCAAGCGUUAAUCGGAAUUACUGGGCGUAAAGCGUGCGCAGGCGGUUCGCUAAGACCGAUGUGAAAUCCCCGGGCUUAACCUGGGAACUGCAUUGGUGACUGGCGGGCUAGAGUAUGGCAGAGGGGAGUAGAAUUCCACGUGUAGCAGUGAAAUGCGUAGAGAUGUGGAGGAAUACCGAUGGCGAAGGCAGCCCCCUGGGCCAAUACUGACGCUCAUGCACGAAAGCGUGGGGAGCAAACAGG
rnacentral:rRNA from 1 species